rnacentral:rRNA from 1 species
GAUGAACGCUGGCGGCGUGCCUAAUACAUGCAAGUCGAGCGAACAGACGAGGAGCUUGCUCCUCUGACGUUAGCGGCGGACGGGUGAGUAACACGUGGAUAACCUACCUAUAAGACUGGGAUAACUUCGGGAAACCGGAGCUAAUACCGGAUAAUAUAUUGAACCGCAUGGUUCAAUAGUGAAAGACGGUUUUGCUGUCACUUAUAGAUGGAUCCCCGCCGCAUUAGCUAGUUGGUAAGGUAACGGCUUACCAAGUCGACGAUGUGUAGCCGACCUGAGAGGGUGAUCGGCCACACUGGAACUUAGACACGGUCCAGACUCCUACGGGAGGCAGCAGUAGGGAAUCUUCCGCAAUGGGCGAAAGCCUGACGGAGCAACGCCGCGUGAGUGAUGAAGGUCUUCGGAUCGUAAAACUCUGUUAUUAGGGAAGAACAAAUGUGUAAGUAACUAUGCACGUCUUGACGGUACCUAAUCAGAAAGCCACGGCUAACUACGUG